rnacentral:rRNA from 1 species
UACGAAGGUCCCGAGCGUUAUCCGGAUUUAUUGGGUUUAAAGGGUGCGUAGGCGGGCUAUUAAGUCAGUGGUGAAAGCCUACAGCUUAACUGUAGAAUUGCCAUUGAUACUGAUAGUCUUGAGUAUGAUUGAGGUGGGCGGAAUGUGUCAUGUAGCGGUGAAAUGCUUAGAUAUGACACAGAACACCGAUUGCGAAGGCAGCUCACUAAGCCAUAACUGACGCUGAUGCACGAAAGCGUGGGGAGCAAACAGG